UACGGAGGGAGCUAGCGUUGUUCGGAAUUACUGGGCGUAAAGCGCACGUAGGCGGUUUGUUAAGUCAGGGUGAAAUCCCAGAGCUCAACUCUGGAACUGCCUUUGAUACUGGCAAGCUCGAGUCCGGAAGAGGUAAGUGGAACUCCGUAGUGUAGAGGUGGAAUUCGUAGAUAUUAGGAAGAACACCAGUAGGCGAAGCGGCAUUGA
rnacentral:rRNA from 1 species